rnacentral:rRNA from 1 species
AAUGAACGCUGGCGGCAUGCCUUACACAUGCAAGUCGAACGGCAGCAUGACCUAGCUUGCUAGGUUGAUGGCGAGUGGCGAACGGGUGAGUAAUGCAUCGGAACGUGCCUUUUAGUGGGGGAUAACGUAGCGAAAGUUACGCUAAUACCGCAUAUUCUCUGAGGAGGAAAGCAGGGGACCUUCGGGCCUUGCGCUAGAAGAGCGGCCGAUGUCGGAUUAGCUAGUUGGUAGGUAAAGGCUCACCAAGGCAACGAUCCGUAGCGGGUCUGAGAGGAUGAUCCGCCACACUGGGACUGAGACACGGCCCAGACUCCUACGGGAGGCAGCAGUGGGGAAUUUUGGACAAUGGGCGCAAGCCUGAUCCAGCCAUGCCGCGUGAGUGAAGAAGGCCUUCGGGUUGUAAAGCUCUUUCGGCUGGGAAGAAAUCGCACCCUCUAAUACAGGGUGUGGAUGACGGUACCAGCAUAAGAAGCACCGGCUAACUACGUG